UUGCUGUCGCUGUCAUUGUUGCUGUCUGUGCAUUUAAUCGAUACAGGAACGGGAGGGGUUGAGGGAGAGUGUGUGGGAGUGUGCUAGGAGUUUUUGGACUUAUUAAAGAAAAACAGGAAAAUCAAUACAAAAGACAGUGAGGCGGAGAGUCAUAAUAAAAUAUAGAGGAUGAAUAGGACAGCAGCUGCCACAGAUGAAAGGCCGGACCAGCGCAGACGGACAGCGUUGUCGAAUCUUCCGAAUCCAUGUCCUUUCUCAUCUAUUGGAAGGCUUGGCAAUGAGGGCAAACUUCCAAAUGAGCAUUCCGCUCACAGCGCCGUGACCUUGAGAAUACUUCUUGCAAUCGGGGAACUGGGAUAGGGCGCGUACAGUUUGAGCAGGUCAAGGACCCGCCCAUUGCCAUUCCUUUCUGACGACUUGCAUCAGGGAAGCCGACAAUGAGAUCGAGUAGGUAUCGAACACGACCGGAACAGCAGUGCCGAAGAGAACACGCCGCGACAGCCGAGACAAACACACAGCAAGAUCAAGGUGUGGGCAGCCAAGGCCUGGGGAUGGACAGAAUGAAAGAUUAGCGAUCACCUCUUAGUUGUUUUACUGCAUGUACAGUCAUUACAGCAUCUGGAGGGGGAGAGAAGGGGAGAGAAGGGGAGAGAAGGGGGAGAGAAGGGGGGAGAAGGGAGGAGAAGGGAGGAGAAGGGAGAAGGCAGAGGAAGACAGAAUACUUAAGCAUCUGAUGAAAUCUGCCAAAUAGUUUACAAUUCAGAAGCAUCACACUGUCCAAUUAGCUAGCGCUCUCUGACAAAUGUCUUAGCAUGCCAACUGUGUGCGUGUGUGUGUGUCACUGUGAAAUACUCUGUACACUCCACACACACGUACACACCAGCCUGUCC